CUACGGGGGGCAGCAGUGGGGAAUAUUGCACAAUGGACGAAAGUCUGAUGCAGCAACGCCGCGUGGAGGAUGACACAUUUCGGUGCGUAAACUCCUUUUAUAUAGGAAGAUAAUGACGGUACUAUAUGAAUAAGCACCGGCUAACUCCGUGCCAGCAGCCGCGGUAAUACGGAGGGUGCAAGCGUUACUCGGAAUCACUGGGCGUAAAGAGCGUGUAGGCGGAUAGAUAAGUCAGGAGUGAAAUCCUAUGGCUCAACCAUAGAACUGCUCUUGAAACUGUCAAUCUAGAGUGUGGGAGAGGUAGAUGGAAUUUCUGGUGUAGGGGUAAAAUCCGUAGAGAUCAGAAGGAAUACCGAUUGCGAAGGCGAUCUACUGGAACAUAACUGGCGCUGAGACGCGAAAGCGUGGGGAGCAAACAGGAUUAGAUACCCUAGUAGUC
rnacentral:rRNA from 1 species